rnacentral:rRNA from 1 species
AGCGGCGGACGGGUGAGUAACACGUGGGUAACCUGCCCAAGAGACUGGGAUAACACCUGGAAACAGAUGCUAAUACCGGAUAACAACACUAGACGCAUGUCUAGAGUUUGAAAGACGGUUCUGCUAUCACUCUUGGAUGGACCUGCGGUGCAUUAGCUAGUUGGUAAGGUAACGGCUUACCAAGGCAAUGGUGCAUAGCCGAGUUGAGAGACUGAUCGGCCACAUUGGGACUGAGACACGGCCCAAACUCCUACGGGAGGCAGCAGUAGGGAAUCUUCCACAAUGGACGAAAGUCUGAUGGAGCAACGCCGCGUGAGUGAAGAAGGGUUUCGGCUCGUAAAGCUCUGUUGGUAGUGAAGGAAGAUAGAGGUAGUAACUGGCCUUUAUUUGACGGUAAUUACUUAGAAGGUCACGGCUAACUGCGUGCCAGCAGCCGCGGUAAUACGUAGGUGGCAAGCGUUGUCCGGAUUUAUUGGGCGUAAAGCGGGUGCAGGCGGUUCAAUAAGUCUGAUGUGAAAGCCUUCGGCUCAACCGGAGAAUUGCAUCAGAAACUGUUGAACUUGAGUGCAGAAGAGGAGAGUGGGACUCCAUGUGUAGCGGUGGAAUGCGUAGAUAUAUGGAAGAACACCAGUGGCGAAGGCGGCUCUCUGGUCUGCAACUGACGCUGAGGCUCGAAAGCAUGGGUAGCGAACAGGAUUAGAUACCCUGGUAGUCCAUGCCGUAAACGAUGAGUGCUAAGUGU